rnacentral:rRNA from 1 species
UACAGAGGGUGCGAGCGUUGUUCGGAAUUAUUGGGCGUAAAGGGCGCGUAGGCGGUGCGGUAAGUCACCUGUGAAAUCUCCUGGCUCAACUGGGAGCUUGCAGGCGAAACUGCCGUGCUGGAGUGUGGGAGAGGUGCGUGGAAUUCCUGGUGUAGCGGUGAAAUGCGUAGAUAUCAGGAGGAACACCUGUGGCGAAAGCGACGCACUGGACCACAACUGACGCUGAGGCGCGAAAGCUAGGGGAGCAAACAGG